GCACUCCGCCAUAGGCCAGGCUUUUCAUGACACAGCCUCAGAUGUCACGCAGCGUCACUUCUGCUGCGUCCUCAGGCUGCCGCCCGUGGGGACAGUCUGGCAGGUCCUCAGAAAGUUCAGCAUGGACUUACACAUGACCCAGCAAUCCCACUGUUCCAUGUACUCCAAGCAACCAGAAUGGACUCCCACAGAUGCUUAUGGCAGCAUCAGUGUCCACAGCAGCUAAAAGCACCUGUCCAUCAACACAUGAUGGACACCUGUGGGCCGGCCAUACACCAGAAAACGACUCAGCCAUAGGAGGAACCGCACUCUGACACCUGCUCCAACACGACGCCCCUGCUGUUACACUGCAGGAGAGAAGCAGACACAGAAGGUCACAAGGUGCAUGACCGAUUCAUACGAAAUGCCCAGAAUAGUCAAAUCCACAGAGACAGAGAGCGAUCAGGAACUGCGGGGGCUGGGAAGGGGACAGUGCACAGGGACUGCUUAGUGGGAGGGGGUUUCCUUUGGGGAUGAUGCACAUGUUCUGGAACUGGACAGAGGUGAUGGUUACACCCUGUUAUGAAUGUACUAAAUGCCACUGUACACAGUAAAAGGGCUAACGUUA